rnacentral:misc_RNA from 1 species
AACGAGGCCGACCUGCGGCUGAGUUACCUGCGGAAGGAUCAUUACACAAUACAAUAUGAAGGCUGUCCGCAGCUGGAGUAUUUUAUUACCCUUGUCUUUUGCGCACUUGUUGUUUCCUGGGCGGGUUCGCUCGCCACCAGGACCACCAAAUAAACCUUUUUUAUGCAGUUGCAAUCAGCGUCAGUACAAACAAUGUAAAUCAUUUACAACUUUUAGCAACGGAUCUCAGAUCGGAAGAGC